CUGAUGCUAAUGAGGCUAAAUGUAAAACACCCAUAACCUUUUCAUUUGAUAAACUAUAUGUUCUGGUGCAAUCUUCCACUCUGAUACAUUGAAUGAAAGAGUAAUGGUCCAUAACAUAAUCAUUUGUUUCUUGUUUGUACAAAUUAUUACUCCUGUGAAUCAUAAAUGAUGGAAUACUUUCAAUUAUCAGCCACACAUCCAGUUAAAAUAGUAUUAUGGUAAGUUCACUUGGUUAUGUAAACUUCACUUGGUUAUGUAAACACGUAGGUUCCCAUGGAGCUUCACAGAAAACUAACUAAAGAGAGGAUACUGGUGAUGAACAGCAUUUAAAUGUUUUGAAUUUUACCAAGGCUGUCAACUGAAGAUUGAAGUUGAAGCUAGUCUGUGCCAGUGCCUUCCUGCUGAGAUGUCUACCAGAACUGAUAACUGGUAAUUUCUACCUUCAGAAAUGCAUACAUUUGUAUGUACAGUACCAUAAAGUUCUCCUUUGAUGAGCUUGGAUGCAGCAGCUCCAUGACAUGUGAAGAACUCCAGUGUGCAAAUGGAGAUGUGAAAAAGCAGGCUGCAUUGAUUUGUUCAGCUACAAACACACAGUGGGAUCAUGCAUGGAGCUACCCUGAAAAUGACUUGAACUGAGGAGUCUACACAUACACACACACACACACAGCCUUUGAAGAACACUGCUUUGGGGUUCCAUGGAAUGUUGGAUUGGAAUAAUUAUAUUUAACUACUAUAUUAAUAAAUUGCAUAAUAAUUUGUAUUUUC